rnacentral:lncRNA from 1 species
AAAAACGCUUAAUCCCGGUUAAGCUGCGCUUAAGCGGCAAUUGCUCUAAGCUGUGGCCUUCCGCUCCGCUUACGCUUACCGCUUUCUCAAACAUUGUAGAUACUUAGGUACACAUGUUUGUAUGUUCUAUUACAUGGUAGCAUGAUAGCUCAAAAAAAAAAUAUGAGAUCACUUGAUGAUAGCUUACAUUGGCUUUAUCAAGCAAGUUAUAUUAGCAUAGAUGUAUCAUAGAUAUAGUGCUUAUCUCUUAACAUUUCGCUGAGUCUUGUAUCUGCUGCCAGCAAGAAAGACCAAGACAUAAAAGUGGUUGUAUUAGGUAGUCAUUGUUGGAUGUCCCAUAUGUACCGAACACGAUUUCAUCGUUUAAGCAACUCUUCAUGGUGGGGCUGAGCAGUCCUUGUAAUCAUCCUGAAUGAACCGAGAGAGAUCCAACUCGUAGAUUGUGACAUGAGAUUGUAUGCCUGCAACACAUGCCAAGAAGUAUAGGUUGAUCGAGAUCAGACAUCGAAGUGAAUCUCGCAAGCUUGCAAUAAGGAAAAGAAAGCUUGUCACUACUGCAACAUCUUUACAUCAGUUUUAGAUAGAGAAAUCAAUCUUUACUGUGCCAUAUCAACACAUCUAUUAAGUUAUUGUAGUACCCCAAGCCCUUCAGAUUGAUCUUGCCUCUUCCAUCUACAUAAAGGAGGUAGCAUGGUAGUCCAAAAAAAAGUUGUCAGCACAGUUCAUGAUAGCUUAUACAUUGGUUUUAGAAAGCAAGCUAUAUAGGUAGCCAUAUAUCAUAUAGAUAGCCCUAAUCUUUCAGCUCGUGGUUGAGUUUUUUAUCUUCUGUUGAUAUGUCAGAUCAAAACAUGUAGUCAUCAACAUUAGGCAGAGUCAUUGAUGCAUGUUCCAUCAAUAUACCUGCAUAUACUGAUAGAUGAUAAAAACUUUGAGAAUAACAGGAUUUUUAGCUUGUUCAAACUGAAGUAGGACAGAUGCAUAUACUGUCUUUCAAGUUCCAAGAAAAUAGGAAAACACAUGGAAACAGACAUCUAUAUAGCAAUCACUUAUUCAUGUGUAGAGUAAGAAGCAUAUAUGCAAUAAGGAAUGGUGGCACAAAAGGCAAGGGCGAGCCGAGUAUUCAAACCAUGCAUAUGUGACUGCUUCAGAAUCAGCUUAUAACUUAUUACAUGGCACCAUGACAGAUCAAAAGAAAGUAUGAGGUCACUUGAUAAUAACAUACAUUGAUUUUAUAAAGCAAAUUGUAGUAGUAUAAGUUUAAACCAUGCACAUAAAAUUAUUUAGACACUGAUUAGAAGAUAAGGAAAUGGAUACUCAGUGCUGAUACAUAGUGUUCCAAGAAGUUUACAAUAGAUUAUUUACAAUGUUAUUAGCAAGCAAAGCACAUAGCUAGAGAUGGUUAUGAAGUGAUGGACAUCAGAUAAAGUCAUCGCUGCAUGUGCCAUCGGUAUCGAAAUUGACUUCGUUGUCUAAGCAACUCUUCAUGGUGGGUGUGAUUGGUAGGCCGUCAUUGCCUAAAGCAGAAAUUCCUUCGGUAUCAUCAUCCAGACUCCAAAAAUACUUGUUUGUUUUUUGUACAAUGUCUCAUUGUAAAGUUGUAUCAUUAAGAUGAUUAGCAACAUAUCUUAUCUAUGAGAAAUACGAUUCAGAUUGUUGUCUUCGGGUGUUGAUCCUUCUGUGAAUUUGGCCUCAAUUAUACGGCAAAGUUCCUUCGCUACCAUGAAAUCUCUACUCAGACUACUGCACCAGCUGCUGCUCAAAUAGUCUAUUUUCUAUCGUUUUCUUUCUGUUGAUGCUCUAGAGAUUUAUAUUUUUGCUGUUGAUGCUCCAGAGAUUUAUAUUUUUGCUGAACCAACUGCAGCUGGUCACAGUUGGAAGUCUUGCAACACCCUACUGUAAGAUCCUUCCAUGUACUUGAGAGCUUUAGUUUCCAGUCGAUCUUCAGCCUCUUCGAGUUUUCCGUACACAUAGAUGGAUAUUGAUUUCCUUGGAAGUCAGUUAUCUAGUUGGUUCUUAGAUGGAUAUAACUAAAUGGUUGUGUCAAAACCAACCGUCCUUGCCUUCUGUGUUAAGUACAUUGCAUUUGCAAGGCCAAGCUAUUGCGUAGUAGCAUCCAGAAGCCCUUCUGUUGGGAUCCUGAAUUUUUCCAUCGCGACCACCACGAAAGAGAAGACACUAUGAGUAGUGCAGUUUAUGAUUCUAUAUGUGUCUGUAUGUGUAUCAAUUUCUAGUGAGAUACACAAUUCGCAUAGUAAAUGAAUUAUAUGUUAUUCUAAAGCUGAUAAUAAAAUAAUUAAGUGUAGCCAGGGCUUGAGCUUGCUUAAAAUCAUGAUUGUACUAUUUGCCAAGCACCAACAAACCAGGGGAUCAACAGGUGUGGGUAUGUACCAAGUGGUUACUCUAGUCUUUAUUAGGAAGUAUGCAUAGUCUUGGUAGAAAACAAAUUUCAUUAUCUCGUCCUUGAUGCUAUAAUAUUUAUCAGAAGAGGUUAUGGAAGCAAAUAUAAGGUACAAUCAUGGUUUUGUCUAAUUUUGACGGAAUCACACUGCCAACCUAUCACUUCUGCUGCGUAUGUGAUGCCAUGCUGAGCACUCGCACGAGACAUGGAUAACGCCACCAAAAUGACCUUGUCAAUAAAUGCAAAUUUGUACAAUGUACGAACAUGGUCUGACACAGAUAAUACCUCUAACAACCACAUAGGAUUUUAGCACAUAGGAAUAUAUACAGAAAAAUAAGACCAGAGAUGAACUUAUUCUGAACUCAAGGACACCAAACUGUUGGAAAAUAAAGGGAAGCACCAAUCCUCAUGAAAUUUGUGCUGAUAGGUAGAACAUAUUCCUUUUCAUGUAUUGUGGUACAGGGGUUGCGGAAGAAAGCAUGCUCACCUUUCUUGGUAGGGUGCGACUGCUCCAGGGACAACAAGCCACAAGAUCUCCAACCAAUCAGAAACAAAUAAUAAUUUCCCUCUCUUCAGUUUCAGACAUCCAGUCACCAAAACUGUAUGGGCCAAAUAUAAUCCUCAGAGGAUGUAGGAAAUAAUAAAUAAGCAAAAGGAUUAUCCCUGGAAAUGCAAUAAUGUUGCAAAACAGUCAAGAUUGUAUGAAAAAUUACAUAUCUUACCCUGUUGCUCGCACUCCUCAACGCCUGCUCCUUCUCCCUGUCAUUGGCAUGGUUGCAUUAUACACUAUAACCAACAUCCACGAAUAAAAUUUAACAAAAGCAUUUGAUAACAGAAAAAGGAGUGAAAUGAGAUAUACAGUCGGUUCAAUAGCCCAAUGUUUUGCAAGAUCAUAAAAGCUACUCUAAAUAUGGGUAAUUAAUAAAGGUACGAUAUUGAUGAUUUAUUUUCAUAUCAAAAGAAGAUAGGUAAUGGAGAUUCCAUUAGUAAACAAAUAAGUGCGAGGGAAAACUAUGUAUAGUCCAACAUGUUUAGGCUUUCUUAGUCAAUAGUCUACUCAAAUGUAGUUAAUAUAUAGCAGAUCAAUAUCAAAAAAAUACCUGCCUAAAUAUGCCGAGAAGAGAGGUAGAAAGCCUAUUUAAAUCUAUAACAGUUACAAAGUUGCAUCAUCCUACUACGUUAAACAUAUAAUGGUAGCUCUAGAUGUUGCUUAACAUGGAGCAUAGUUUGAUGCCGCAGUGCAACCUCAUAAACUUUGCAUACAACAACCUGUAGAUAAAUGUGAACCAAAAUAAAGUGUCUUUGCUCCAAAUGAUAGAACAUACCUGAACGCCAUUUCUUCACAUCUCAUCUCUCAAACAGAGGCAUGCCAAAUACUUGCCAUAGGAGGUUUCCAGUGCGUACAUCAAGCCAUCGCUGAAAAGAACCGGAAGACAAACCUGUGAAAAGAAUUGAAUUCUUUUACAAAAACGAAUCAUUGAGCAAGCAAAUGACAAUGAAGGGACGAAAAGAUAAGCAGUCACAUGGUCAAUGAGCAAAGGUGCUCCAGGGCAGAAGGAACUACACACAAACUCAUGGAGAAGCAACCUGGAAUCGGUAAAACAAAGUGGCAGCUAGAAACUAACCUGAACCAAUAAGAACAUGCCAUGCUUAGCCAUCACCCAAGGAUGUGAAAUAAAUACAGGGCAUUUUUCUCACCUGAUGCAGGGUCACAGGCUUGUUGGCGAGGUCCGCAACUCCUUCGACCGCUGCAUCGGCAAUGGGGUGGGAGACGGGGCAAGUGAAGCUGCUUCCGUCUCUACAUCCCUUCCCCCUCUCUACUACCAAUGGCUCUCCAUCUUCAACCGUAGGGGAACCGGUGCACAGAAUCUUGGUAUGAAAGCUAGGAAUGAGGGAUUGGCUGCUCAUCUCAUGCUAUUCCUGUUGGGCGGCGAGGAAGAGGUAUCAGCAGCCCAAGCUCGAUCGCGAACCUCCUGAGCCAACAAGGAGAGGGUUGCUUGGAACAUGAGCUCCAUGAAGUCACCAUCGUGCACCAGCUGCAUGUGUCGGCGUCCACCCACUGAGGCCAUCGUUUGCCGACACCACCGCACGAGCCGUCGUCCUCUGCUAGAAUCCGAAGUACAUUUGUAAAUCGCAAGAGGUGCUCUCCUAGAAUCUGAAGUACAUAUAUUAAAGCAGCAGUCAUUGGUUUGGGCAUAUAUAAAACCAAGAAUUAGCAAGAAGCUAAGAAAACUCCUAAUCAAGAAUAUACUGGUUCGCUUAUGCUUGUGCUAGUGGCUUGUUUCCUGCCUACUGCUUAAUUCCGCAUGACAUGUGGGAACACCUUCAAUCUAGCAAGGAUCAUCACUACCACAUGUGAUGCGCAAUCACGCGGUAACCUUUGUUACUGACUUGCAAAACAAAUUCAGAGAACAAACCACUGUAAGCCGCCAAAUAGGUAUAGUAGAGGAGAUGUUCUUACUUGUGCCUCUUACCUUUGCUGCCAAUACUGAUUCUUGAUGGUCGAAUGCAUCUAACAAAAUCCAGGAAGCAACAAAAGCAACUGUGUAAACAUCCAAAACUGCAACAAAAUUUAUAAUUUAACUAAAAGAGGAGCAUGAACAAAUCAUCACCGUGAAGCAACAUUACAUGAUACCGUACAUCGCAGCAGUCCUAAUAUAAUUAUUCAUAUUAGCCAUCUACACCAAGAAAAAAAAUCAAACGUCAUCAUUGUUGUCCAAACCAUUGAUUCCUCCUUUGAUUUUGAAUGAUAGCGAAGCAUCAUGAAAUCUGAAAGGAAGCAUGGUGUAUCGGUUAAAGAGAAGAAAGCCAUGGUUGAAACAUCUAGUUUUUCUCGAGCAGAUUUUUAGUUCUACAAAAAACGAAAGGACAAAGAAUGAAAUAAAAAGCUAAAAAGAAAUUAAGUAUGCACACGCAAACCUACAAAGGUUGGUGUUUUACCUACACGUACAGCAACAAUCUAGCC